UGUCACUGUUGUUAAGUUCACCCAAUGAUUUCCCUGAACUGACCCAGACUGACACAGAAGGACAAGUUCCUUGUGGAGCUUGCAUGUAUGACAAAUUGCUGGCUCCUUCAAUCAUCUAUACAAGAUCUGAGCAAUCAAGCACUAUGAAAUCUGCUAAGAUGGAAUGGGUCUGAGAUGUGUACCAGCAUGAUGGGUCCAGUCAUUCCCCUCAUCAUCUGCUGUAACAUGAUCACCAUGCAUUCAUCAGCGGUUUGGAUUCCAGCUCAACCAAAACAGAAUAUAUGGGUCACCCUCGCCAACAAGAUGGGACAAGACACACUUUGCUUGUCAAUUGCGUCACCAGGGAACCAUAUGAAUUGGAAUUGUUGGGAUUGGUUAGAAUGGACUAUUGAUCGUACUUCAACUAUACUGGAAAGAACCAAUCAUUCAGUGUUAGUUUAGUUGUUUAUAGGAAUGUUUCUGAACUGCGCCUUUCUUUUUAUUAAUAGAGAAGGGGGAGAUGUGGGACAAAGAAAGACAUCAUGAACAAAAGACUUUGCAGAUGAGUAAACAAGCUGAGCAACUACUUGCACCGGACAUAAACACACACGAGGCCUCUGGCUCCUAUAUGUGAUCAAGGGGUUGUUGCAUGAGUCUAAACGGUUGCCUCUCCUGCCACAAAGGCCCACCAAUUUCCUGUUACUGAGCUGAGAAAUGGUGACACUAAGUGGCCAUGAGUAAACCUACAGUGCCCAAAAUAGACUCAAGAGCAGUGGUCUUGUGUACACCAGCAUGGAUACCAGUCCUGCUCAGAACACAUGCUAUCCACACCAUGCUGCAGGACAUCUAGGCCUUAGCUUGUUGGAGCAUGACUGAGCCCCUGAUACCACAAAGGAGAGCAUAUUGCUCAGUUGGUACUGGUGUUCAGACCACUGAGCUUUAGUGGCCUGUAGCUGUCCUGAGAUCACACUGAGAGGCUGAGAGCAUCUCCAUGAAAUUUUUAGCUUAGAUGCAGGAUGGGCACUUCCUCUGUCAGCUGUGGGCACCUGGGGGAAACUCAAGAGCUUGUCUGAUCCAGGCCCCAUCCAGCUUCUUUAUAUGAAAUAUAUUAUUAAAAACAAAACAAAACAAAACAAAAAAAAACAUGGUUCCAAGUCUUCUCUAGAUACUGUUAAGAUUGCAUAAGCUUAGGGAAAUAAUAUAACUGAAGUUAUGUCAGGAGCUGGAAAUAGUAUGAGGUUCACAAGGUGAUGCUGAGGGAACAUAAAAUCUGAUGUAGUUCCUUCUCAUUUCUAUUGAUCUGAAAGAGGAACUACAUCUCAAAUGCAGUGUACCUGAUGGUUUAACUGUCCUUUUUAAGAUUUAUGUCUAAAACUGGAAAUAACCUGUCUGUUCAAUAAUUUCUUCUAUUAAUAAUCAAUAAUUCUCUUCUAUUAAUUCUAAAAGUGGUGGAAUUAGAAAAAAAAAAUUACUGAAUUCAUUCACUUGAAUGUUUGUUUCCAUGCACCAAGUAAUAAAUAUUCAUCAUGGAGAUUUACAUAAAGUGCUUUUUUUGCUGCAUGUUUUAUAUUUAUUACUGAAGAAGAUAUUUUAUGUAAUUACAAACUUCCACAUAGUCUACCAAAUUGCUUUUCAAACUCUUAAAGGGUUCACUGGAGAUGCUGCGUGCUAUUGUCAUUUUGAUUCAUAACAACCAGUUUUAACAACCUUACAAAGAAACACAGUUCUCAUUUAUAGUCUGCAUUAAGGGUAGAUAUUUGAUAUAUGUCAUCAUUAAUAAAUGAAAGAUAUUCCUUUCAGAACCACAAAAGACACUGUAAUUAACAACAUGAUGGUAGGUUGGAAAAUAGAUGGCAAACUGUAGAAGUAAUUGGCCACAUAGGGACUGUCUUCCAGUCAUUUAAAAACAGAAAUAUUUGAGGUGUAUAACAUCAAUUUAAUACAUGAUUUCAGCUGAGGCUGAUUGUUCCAAGAAUAAGAGAAUGUGUGGUUUUACAGUUACAGUAAAAAUCUUCAUCUAGCACAGCUAUUAAUCCUAGCCUGAUGUUACCAUUUAAUUAAUUUCAUUAUCAGAUUUAAAUUAAAUAUAUAUUUGACAUUAAAGGUGAAAUGUUAGGAGAAAUAACUUGUAAAAAAGCUAAUAGCCAAACCAAGGAGGGAAUGUUAUAUUUUAGUUUUUCUAAUUGCUUGAUUUAACACCAAACAUGUGUCUUCUUUGUGCAUUUUCCUGUUCCCAGUUCGGUUAGGUAAUCAUUUCUGUGUGAAUCACCAAAGAAGUAUUUUAAACUGUAUCCCAUUAACACUGAAAGAGCUGGGAAUAAAGAGUUUGUUUCUUCAGGAAAUAACAGUGUUUUAUUCCAUCAUUGCUUCCUAUAUUUUUUGUUCAUUUAAUAUAUUCCUUGUGCUUGCCUUCUGUUAUGUAUUUCUCAUAGUACAAGCACAGCAUUCACUAAUGCAUUUCCUCACAUUAAACAUUGUUCUCAGAAGACAGAAGAUCCAGUUUUACUCUUCAGUCUUAUCAUGUUGCAAAGCAUACAACAGUAAAAGUGCAACAGUUUUGUCAUUCAUUAACUUGCAAACCCAAC
ensembl:lncRNA